rnacentral:tRNA from 1 species
GCCUUCUUGGUCUAGCGGUUUAUGAUUUGGGUCUCAUACUUAGCUUAUGAAUACACUGAUAAGUGUAUGAUAUCCCACGGUCGCCAGUUCAAUCCUGGCAGAAGGCA